AGGACGAACGCUGGCGGCGUGCUUAACACAUGCAAGUCGAACGGUGAAGCCCUUCGGGGUGGAUCAGUGGCGAACGGGUGAGUAACACGUGGGUAAUCUGCCCUUGACUCUGGGAUAACUUCGGGAAACCGGAGCUAAUACCGGAUAUUCACAUUCUGGCGCAUGCUGGUCUGUGGAAAGAAUUUUGGUCAAGGAUGAGCUCGCGGCCUAUCAGCUUGUUGGUGGGGUAAUGGCCUACCAAGGCGACGACGGGUA
rnacentral:rRNA from 1 species